rnacentral:rRNA from 1 species
UACGGGGGGAGCAAGCGUUGUUCGGAUUUACUGGGCGUAAAGGGCGCGUAGGCGGCCACCGCAAGUCGACUGUGAAAUCUCCGGGCUUAACCCGGAAAGGUCAGCCGAUACUGCGGGGCUAGAGUGCAGAAGGGGCAACUGGAAUUCUCGGUGUAGCGGUGAAAUGCGUAGAGAUCGGGAGGAAGGCCGGUGGCGAAGGCGGCGCUCUGGAACGUACCUGACGCUGAGACACGAAAGCGUGGGGAGCAAACAGG